AACCUGCUUAGAGCCCUCUCUCCCUAGCCUCCGCUCUUAGGACGGGGAUCAAGAGAGGUCAAACCCAAAAGAGAUCGCGUGGAUGCCCUGCCUGGGGUUGAAGCGUUAAACGAAUCAGGCUAGUCUGGUAGUGGCGUGUCCGUCCGCAGGUGCCAGGCGAAUGUAAAGACUGACUAAGCAUGUAGUACCGAGGAUGUAGGAAUUUCGGACGCGGGUUCAACUCCCGCCAGCUCCACCA
rnacentral:tmRNA from 1 species